GAAGAGCUGUAUCAGAAAUAUGGGUACAAUGCCUUCCUGAGUAACAAGCUGCCCCUGAAUAGGCAGAUCCCAGACACCAGAGAUAAGAGAUGCUUGGAGAGAAAAUACCCAAAGGACCUCCCCACUAUCAGUGUGGUGCUGAUCUACCUGGAUGAAGCCCUGUCCAUCAUCAAAAGAGCCAUCCGCAGUAUCAUAGACAAGACACCUGCUCACCUGCUCAAGGAGAUUAUACUGGUAGAUGAUCACAGUUCUAAUGCGCUGCUACUACCUCACAAGUGGACAGGUUUACAUUGGGGGCAUAAAAUCUCACACAUACAAUAGAAAUCGAUGCCUGGUGGAUACUGGCACAGAAAGUACUCCAUCACUCUAUGACUGUAAAGUGGCCAAGGAAAAAGGAUUCCACAUGUACUGGGACUUCAAACAGGGACAGGGCAUAAGGAACAGAGAAACAAAUAAAUGUCUUGAGAUUGCUGUUGGAGAAGAUACCUACUAUCAUCUUGUCAUUCAAGAGUGUAGUGGCCAACACUGGACAAUACAGCAUGCUAUUAAGGAAUUCUGAAGAAUUCUGUUUGACAUACCUGGCAAGGAUGAAACAAACCAAAAGACGCCCAUUUAAGCCCAAAGGAGUCAACCUCACCCCAUCCUCAGAAGUGAAGUGGCAGCAUUAUAAAUGUAAUUUUAAUCAAGGCAGUAGAACAUUGGCUUCAAACCAGUCCAAUGGCUCUGGUGCACAGCCCCUUACACUGAGAAAUAUUGUUCAUGCUUUCAGGCCCAUAGCAUUGACUUGUCACUAAUGAAAGUAAUACCUGCAGUACAGGGACCAGAGGACAAUUAAGGUUUCGAUAGACUUUAGUGAUCAAUGAACUGUGACAAGGGACACAAAUAAAUAAAUAUGUCAGAGACCACCCUUUUUUAUUUACUUUCCAGGUAAAAAAA